rnacentral:rRNA from 1 species
UACGGAGGUUGCGAGCGUUGUUCGGAAUAACUGGGCGUAAAGGGAGCGCAGGCGGUUUGGCAAGUCUAAAGUGAAAGCCCGGGGCUUAACCUCGGAAGUGCUUUGGAUACUACUGAACUUGAGUUCGUGAGAGGAAAGCGGAAUUCCAGGUGUAGCGGUGAAAUGCGUAGAUAUCUGGAGGAACACCGGUGGCGAAAGCGGCUUUCUGGCGCGAUACUGACGCUGAGGCUCGAAAGCAUGGGGAGCGAACAGG